GAUGAACGCUGGCGGCGUGCCUAAUACAUGCAAGUCGAGCGAACAGACGAGGAGCCUGCUCCUCUGACGUUAGCGGCGGACGGGUGAGUAACACGUGGAUAACCUACCUAUAAGACUGGGAUAACUUCGGGAAACCGGAGCUAAUACCGGAUAAUAUAUUGAACCGCAUGGUUCAAUAGUGAAAGACGGUUUUGCUGUCACUUAUAGAUGGAUCCGCGCCGCAUUAGCUAGUUGGUAAGGUAACGGCUUACCAAGGCAACGAUGCGUAGCCGACCUGAGAGGGUGAUCGGCCACACUGGAACUGAGACACGGUCCAGACUCCUACGGGAGGCAGCAGUAGGGAAUCUUCCGCAAUGGGCGAAAGCCUGACGGAGCAACGCCGCGUGAGUGAUGAAGGUCUUCGGAUCGUAAAACUCUGUUAUUAGGGAAGAACAAAUGUGUAAGUAACUAUGCACGUCUUGACGGUACCUAAUCAGAAAGCCACGGCUAACUACGUA
rnacentral:rRNA from 1 species